GCAUAAUUUAGUGGCAUAAAAACCAGAAAUUGAUAAGGGGUUUAGUACCAUAUGUAAAUAGUAUCUCCUCAUUUAAGCAUUGUGUAAAUGGCACUUUGUGUUACCUACUGUACGAGGGUAGUGCACACCCUCUAAGUAGUUCUUAAAUGAACCUUUGCUAAAGGGCUGAGGAAAAGGCUCUAUUACCUUAUAUUGUAAGCACAGAUACCUAUAUAGCUUAUUGUAAUAUAAGAACGCUAUGUUAUAUUAUUCCAAUUUAAUGAGUAGAUGUGAAUUUUGGUAAGUCUCACAACAUACUAGUUUUGAUUCAGGUAGUGUAACAAAUAUUUGGCGAAAUUAAGGAGGGGUGAAUGUAACACGGUUAACACAGUUAACUUAAAUAUAUAAAUGUUCGCCAAAUAUCUCAGAUCUGCAAGAGGUUAAAUUCCUGACAGGAAGAAUCACUUGGACUAUACCAAAAUACUGACCAAAAGUGCAGAAUAUACCUUUGAAUGUUUUACUGUUAAUUAUGUUCUAGUUAAGAAAUAAAUAGUUCUAACAGAGCAGCUAACUUCUGUGGGAAAGAUCAUAGCCACACUCUAAACAGAAUCUUUACCAGACCAUAAUCCUUAAUGGACUUUCCCUUACCCCCUGUCUAUAUCCUACCAUUUGGUCUGGUCCCUCCUCAGUGCUUUAGUUCCACAGAAGAGGUCCCCAGCAGACAGUGCCAAUCAAUAAAGCAUUGUAAAGUUAUGAUAUCUCUGCCUGUGUUCGAGUCCUUAUGCCUGUUGCAGUAACAACCCCUACACUGGUGGAGUGUGUGGAAUAGAGGGCCACGUGGGUCGGUGUGACAGAAACAGAGGGUUACAUAUACAAGUAUAAAAGGUU